UGCUGCACCUGCACCUUCCGCACCUGCUGCACCUGAAAAUACGGCUACUUCGCCCCGGUAGAACCUGCGCAAAAAUAAUGAAGCCAAAAAUAGUUGUGCGCGUAGAAUUUAAUAGUAGCAGCAUAACUCGACGCACUGUCAGAUGCACCAGUAAAUGCACUAGCUCACUAGUUCACGUACCAGUAGAUGCACUAGCUCAGUAGUUCUUGCACCAGUAGAUGCACUAGCUAAAUGAUUCAUGCACCAGUAGAUGCACUAGCUCAAUAAUUCAUGCACCAGUAUAUGAUGCACUAGCUCAGUAGUUCAUGCACCAGUAGAUGCACUAGCACAGUAGUUCAUGCACCAGUAGAUGCACUAGCUCAGUAAUUCACGCACCAGUAGAGGCACUAGCACAGUAGUUCAUGCACCAGUAGGUGCACUAGCUCAGUAGUUCAUGCACCAGUAGGUGCACUAGCUCAAUAGUUCAUGCACCAGUAGAUGCACUAGCUCAGUAAUUCAUGCACCAGUAGAUGCACUAGCUCAAUAAUUCAUGCACCAGCUAGUAGAUGCACUAUUUAGACUCGUACACGUGAUAUUAGAUGCACAACUGAUGCACCAUUGAUGCCUAUACAAAUGCACCACUAUAGAUGUGCGUAUUCUAAGCAGUCUAGAUAAAGUAUUUAACAGUUCAGGUUACAAAAUCUGUUUAGCAUUCACCUUGCAAUGCGUGAAUGUGCGGCCGAAAUUUACAAAACUCGCAUAAUGCAAAAUUACGUUCAUCGCAGAACAAUCGAUCAUCGCAGAACUAUCGAUCAUCGCAGAACUGUCGAUCAUCGCAGAACUAUCGAUCAUCGCGGAACUAUCGAUCAUCGCAGACCUAUCGAUCAUCGCAGAACUAUCGAUCAUCGCAGAACUAUCGAUCAUAGCAGAACUA